GACGAACGCUGGCGGCGUGCUUAACACAUGCAAGUCGAACGGUGAACCUCUUCGGAGGGGAUCAGUGGCGAACGGGUGAGUAACACGUGGGCAACCUGCCCCCGGCUCUGGGAUAACUCCAAGAAAUUGGGGCUAAUACCGGAUGUUCACCGCUUCCCGCAUGGGUGGUGGUGCAAAGGGUUUCCGGCUGGGGAUGGGCCCGCGGCCUAUCAGCUUGUUGGUGGGGUAGUGGCCUACCAAGGCGACGACGGGUAGCCGGCCUGAGAGGGUGACCGGCCACACUGGGACUGAGACACGGCCCAGACUCCUACGGGAGGCAGCAGUGGGGAAUAUUGCGCAAUGGGCGGAAGCCUGACGCAGCGACGCCGCGUGGGGGAUGACGGCCUUCGGGGUGUAAACCUCUUUCAGCAGGGACGAAGCGCAAGUGACGGUACCGGCAGAAGAAGCACCGGCCAACUACGUG
rnacentral:rRNA from 1 species